CAGCUGUUAAAGAAGAACAGAAUCCAGGGCAAACAGAGAACAUGGACUCUGAUGAGCUGAACUACGCAGCAGUGACUUUUCAACCUAAAAGCUAAAAGAAGAGAGCUGGAGCCGAAUGUUAUUUAUGCUGCCGCCAGAUAGACGCAACUGGAACUGAUGCUGUAUCAUGUUAAUUUGUCUUUGGGCUUUUUUAUGUUGUUGGUGAGAGCAAUGACCACUGUUGCCCGAACAUUUAAUUUGGAAAUAAAGAUCCAAUGUUU